GCCCGGCCCUAUCGAAGCUGCGUCUGCCUCGGUGCUGUGGCUGAUGCAGUCAAAAAGGAGCCGAGAGGGAAGAGAUUUUCCUCGACGGUCGCCGCUCAGUUUGAAUUUUCGUAACUGUCCGGCAACAUCUCGGGAAAAUACAAAG
rnacentral:snoRNA from 1 species